rnacentral:rRNA from 1 species
GACGAACGCUGGCGGCGUGCUUAACACAUGCAAGUCGAACGGUAAGGCCCUUCGGGGUACACGAGUGGCGAACGGGUGAGUAACACGUGGGUGAUCUGCCCUGCACUUCGGGAUAAGCCUGGGAAACUGGGUCUAAUACCGGAUAGGACCACUGCCUGCAUGGGUGGUGGUGGAAAGCUUUUGCGGUGUGGGAUGGGCCCGCGGCCUAUCAGCUUGUUGGUGAAGUGAUGGCCUACCAAGGCGACGACGGGUAGCCGGCCUGAGAGGGUGACCGGCCACACUGGGACUGAGAUACGGCCCAGACUCCUACGGGAGGCAGCAGUGGGGAAUAUUGCACAAUGGGCGCAAGCCUGAUGCAGCGACGCCGCGUGAGGGAUGACGGCCUUCGGGUUGUAAACCUCUUUCAGCACCGACGAAGCGCAAGUGACGGUAGGUGCAGAAGAAGGACCGGCCAAUUACGUGCCAGCAGCCGCAGUAA